UCUACAUGUGAACAGACUCAAAUAGUCACAAUAAAUUCACAAAAUCUAUGCUUCCGUAGUCAAAUAUUUAGUUUAACUUCACAUGACUCUGUUUCAUAUCUUUUGUUUAAAGGGAAUUGGACAGAAGAUGGCUGAGUAUAUUGUUGAACUCAGAGAAACAAGCCCUCUAAAAUCGCUUGCUGACUUGGAGAAGCUCGGUUUCACCUCAAGACAGGUACAUAACUUGUUCAAGAGAGCCACAGAAGGGAUUCUUUGAGAAGCCAGUCUCUGCUACAACAACAACACCUUAGUUGUUCUGUCUCUACCAAACAACAACACUCGUUGGAUUUUUUAAGAACUUGUGUCGGAGUACUACAUUUUAAUGAUUGUCUGUUAUUGUCUACCUAAGCUUUUGACUAGAGAGACAUAGGUUGAUCUUAUGCUGUGUACUGACUAAGAAAGAAGCAAAACUUUAAAUAUCUGAAUGAAACUUAAAGACUCAGACCCAUAAUACUUUUGGCUUAUAUAUAGUCGCAGAGAUAAAGCUUACAGAGAUGUCUCAUGACCAAACCAUUAAAACACACACAGAAGAGCAAGACUCACUGUCUCCGGCAAAACAACCGGAGAAAUCAGCCAUUAUUACACAUAA